GUGAGGUAACGGCUCACCAAGGCGAUGACGGGUAGCUGGUCUAAGCGGAUGAUCAGCCACACGGGGACUGAGACACGGCCCCGACUCCUACGGGAGGCAGCAGUGGGGAAUUUUGGACAAUGGGCGAAAGCCUGAUCCAGCGACGCCGCGUGCGGGAGGAAGCCUCUCGGGGUGUAACCGCUGUCAGGAGGGAAGAACAGGUUCGGGUUAAUACCCCGGACUGCUGACGGUACCUCCAGAGGAAGCGCCGGCUAACUCCGUGCCAGCAGCCGCGGUAAUACGGAGGGCGCGGGCGUUGUCCGGAAUUACUGGGCGUAAAGGGGGCGCAGGCGGCUUGGCAAGUCUUGUGUGAAAGGCCACGGCUCAACCGUGGACAUGCACUAGAUACUACCGAGCUUGAGACGGGUAGAGGCGAGUGGAAUUCCCGGUGUAGCGGUGGAAUGCGUAGAUAUCGGGAAGAACACCAGUGGCGAAGGCGACUCGCUGGGCCCGUUCUGACGCUCAGGCCCGAAAGCGUGGGGAGCAAACAGGAUUAGAUACCCUGGUAGUCCACACCGUAAACGAUGGGCACUAGGUGCUGGGAAGUGUGACCUUUUCAGUGCCGUAGCUAACGCGUUAAGUG
rnacentral:rRNA from 1 species